rnacentral:rRNA from 1 species
GACGAACGCUGGCGGCGUGCUUAACACAUGCAAGUCGAACGGAAAGGCCCUGCUUUUGUGGGGUGCUCGAGUGGCGAACGGGUGAGUAACACGUGAGUAACCUGCCCGUGACUUUGGGAUAACUUCAGGAAACUGGGGCUAAUACCGGAUAGGAGCUCCUGCUGCAUGGUGGGGGUUGGAAAGUUUCGGCGGAUGGGGAUGGACUCGCGGCUUAUCAGCUUGUUGGUGGGGUAGUGGCUUACCAAGGCUUUGACGGGUAGCCGGCCUGAGAGGGUGACCGGCCACAUUGGGACUGAGAUACGGCCCAGACUCCUACGGGAGGCAGCAGUGGGGAAUAUUGCACAAUGGGCGGAAGCCUGAUGCAGCAACGCCGCGUGCGGGAUGACGGCCUUCGGGUUGUAAACCGCUUUCGCCUGUGACGAAGCGUGAGUGACGGUAAUGGGUAAAGAAGCACCGGCUAACUACGUG